UCAAGCGAAUAAGUGCAUGUGGUGGAUGCCUUGGCAAUGAUAGGCGAUGAAGGACGUGACAGCCUGCGAUAAGCUGCGGGGAGCCGGCAAAUGGGCGCUGAUCCGCAGAUUUCCGAAUGGGGAAACCCGGCCCUUUUAGGGUCACCUCGCUCUGAAUACAUAGGAGCGAAGGAGCGAACCCGGAGAACUGAAACAUCUCAGUAACCGGAGGAACAGAAAUCAACCGAGAUUCCCGGAGUAGUGGCGAGCGAAACGGGAAGAGCCUUCGAGAUUUAGCACGCGCGCAAGCGGAACGCUCUGGAAAGUGCGGCCGUAGUGGGUGAUAGCCCCGUACGCGAAAGCCCGUGUGUGGAACCAAGCUCGAGACAAGUAGGGCGGGACACGUGAAAUCCUGUCUGAAGAUGGGGGGACCAUCCUCCAAGGCUAAAUACUCAUCAUUGACCGAUAGUGAACCAGUACCGUGAGGGAAAGGCGAAAAGAACCCCGGGAGGGGAGUGAAAUAGAUCCUGAAACCGCAUGCAUACAAACAGUCGGAGCUGGAGCAAUCUGGUGACGGCGUACCUUUUGUAUAAUGGGUCAGCGACUUACGUUGCGUAGCGAGCUUAAGGCUUGAUGCCGGAGGCGUAGCGAAAGCGAGUCUGAACAGGGCGAUUCAGUUGCGCGGCGUAGACCCGAAACCGGUUGAUCUAUCCAUGGCCAGGCUGAAGGUGGGGUAACACCCACUGGAGGGCCGAACCCACGCCCAUUGAAAAGGUCGGGGAUGAGCUGUGGAUAGGGGUGAAAGGCUAAACAAAACCGGAGAUAGCUGGUUCUCCUCGAAAACUAUUGAGGUAGUGCCUCGUGUAUUGCCUGCGGGGGUAGAGCACUGUUAUGGCUAGGGGGCCGCUAUAGGCUUACCAAACCAUGGCAAACUCCGAAUACCGUAGAGCCAGAGCACGGGAGACAGUCCCCGGGUGCUAACGUCCGGGGACAAGAGGGAAACAACCCAGACCGCCAGCUAAGGUCCCGAAUCUCGGCUAAGUGGAAAACGAGGUGGGAAGGCUUAGACAGUCAGGAGGUUGGCUUAGAAGCAGCCAUCCUUUAAAGAAAGCGUAAUAGCUCACUGAUCGAGUCGUCCUGCGCGGAAGAUGUAACGGGGCUCAAGCCGAGAACCGAAGCUGCGGAUCGCUGCGAUCCACUUGAACACAUUCCUAACUGAGCAAGCUCGAGGUCGAGAGCGGAUUCGGUGUGUGCGUGUGUUGAAGGGAUUGCAGCGGUGGUAGAGGAGCGUUCCCUACGCCUGCGAAGGUGGAUCGAGAGGUCUGCUGGAGGUAUGGGAAGUGCGAAUGCUGACAUGAGUAGCGAUAAAGCGGGUGAAAGGCCCGCUCGCCGAAAGCCCAAGGUUUCCUGCGCAACGUUCAUCGGCGCAGGGUGAGUCGGCCCCUAAGGUGAGGGCGAGAGCCGUAGCUGAUGGGAAUCCGGUCAAUAUUCCGGAACCGCCGACGGGUGCGAUGUGGGGACGGAGAAGGUUAUGCGAGCCGGCUGUUGGACGUGCCGGUGAAGCGUGUAGGUGGAUCCUUUAGGGAAAUCCGGAGGGUCGUUACCACCGAGGCGCGGGACCACGAGAGCUUUGCUCUCGGAAGUCGCGGAUACCCUGCUUCCAGGAAAAGCCACUAAGCUUCAGCCCGUUGGGACCGUACCGCAAACCGACACAGGUGGGCAGGAUGAAAAUUCUCAGGCGCUUGAGAGAACUCAGGAGAAGGAACUCGGCAAAUUGACACCGUAACUUCGGGAGAAGGUGUGCCGCUGGUAGGUGAGGGGGAUUUACUCUUCCGAGCCGAGAGCGGCCGCAGAGAAUCGGUGGCUGCGACUGUUUAUCAAAAACACAGCACUCUGCUAAGACGUUGGAAGUCGACGUAUAGGGUGUGACGCCUGCCCGGUGCCGGAAGGUUAAGUGAUGGGGUGCAAGCUCUUGAUCGAAGCCCCGGUAAACGGCGGCCGUAACUAUAACGGUCCUAAGGUAGCGAAAUUCCUUGUCGGGUAAGUUCCGACCCGCACGAAUGGCGUAACGAUGGCCACACUGUCUCCUCCUGAGACUCAGCGAAGUUGAAAUGUUUGUGAAGAUGCAAUCUUCCCGCGGCUAGACGGAAAGACCCCAUGAACCUUUACUGUAGCUUUGCAUUGGACUGUGACGCUGUCUGUGUAGGAUAGCUGGGAGGCUAUGAAGCCGGGUCGCUAGACUCGGUGGAGCCGACGUUGAAAUACCAGCCUGACGACGUUGCGGUUCUAACCUGGGCCCCUUGACGGGGUCGGGGACCGUGCAUGGUAGGCAGUUUGACUGGGGCGGUCUCCUCCCAAAGGGUAACGGAGGAGUGCGAAGGUCACCUAGGUACGGUCGGAAAUCGUACUCAUAGUGCAAUGGCAUAAGGUGGCUUGACUGCGAGACUGACAAGUCGAGCAGGUGCGAAAGCAGGUCAUAGUGAUCCGGUGGUUCUGUAUGGAAGGGCCAUCGCUCAACGGAUAAAAGGUACUC
rnacentral:rRNA from 1 species